CGACGGCGAGGCGGGAGGUGGCGGCGGCGGUAGUUCCGGCUCCCAUCGCCGGCUAGCUGAAGCAGAGCGCGUGUGGAACUGGAUGCAGGCGAGGCAAAUCUGGCACCUGAGUCUUCUCGAUUCUUAGUAGCAGCUGGAUUGCAGGAGCCAGAGAUGACGAUCUACUGCAAGAUUAAGGGCCUGUUCGGAUGCACUCCGCUCCGCAACUCUGCUCCCCGAGCGGGCGGAGCGGCGCCGAACGAAUCAACUCUGUGGAGCGGCCAGAGUGAAGCGGAGCUGCCUGUAGUGUAUUUUUUCGGAGUUGACAAAUCGAGGCUCCGCGCGCUCCUGAUCCCGCAGGACCUCACCUGCUUGCCCCGACUCCCCUUUGCAGGGAACUCUAGCCGUCGUCCUCCCGCCGCCGCUGCACACAGGGCUGAUCGAAUCCCGUGCGAUGCAUGGACGCAUCCCUCUGCCACUUGUCCGUCGUUGCCAAACCUGCUCGCAGCUCCACGUCAAUGGCGAUAGCUGACAGGCUCCUCGCACCGACGCAUCCCGCCGCCACUGCACCGCCGUCAUCACCGAUGCAUCGACGCCUCCCGCUGCACGUGCCUCCGAGGCUUCUCCUCCCGCCGCUACUGCACCAACGGGCUCCUUCAUUCCUCAGUGAAACCACCGCCCUCAGCUGCUUUUUCUAGUCAGGUUCCUCCCAGGAAUGUAUGCAUAAUUCAGUUGAGGAGUGGAGUUCACAACCGAACGUAUUCCCAGAUUCUGAAACGUGCUAAUAGAGUUGGGAGUUGAGAAGUGAGGAGCAGAGUUUAGAAUCUGGAGGAGUGGAGAGUUGCCGAACAGGCUCUAAGUGUGCAUCUAGCGAGACUAUGCGCCUCAAUUUUUAUUUUUACUUUUUGUGGGGGCUAUGUGCCUCAGUAUUCGAGGCUCUUUCUUCAAACACGAAAGAGCAAGACCGAAACUUCAAA